UGCUAUUUUACCUAAGAGAAUAUAGUAGAUUCUAAGAGAAUGUAGUAGGUCCUAUGAGGUACAAUAUUUAUUAUGUGGUACAAUGUGUUAGAGUUGAUGAUGAGGAGUAGUUGUGAUUAUGACUAGUGACCAACUUGCUAUGUGAUGUCUCAUUGAUGAAAACGAUGAACAUGAGGAGGUGUUAUAUGACAAUGAUGUAUUAUGAUGAUAAGUUGUUAAUGAUAUGAUGAUGAUGACGAUGAUAUUUAUUAUAUCAUUGGGUGAAAGAACCGCGGAUUAG
rnacentral:rRNA from 1 species